CGUUCUGCUGACAGCAAACAACUGGAUUGAACUGGAAUUUUCCGGUGGGCCUCAGCGUGGCAAUGAUACAGUGGACCAUCAACUUGACAAUGUCUACCCUGCUGGAGUAACGUCACUCCUGAGCAAUCUACAAAAGGCGCAGCAUUUCUGUGAUUUCUUCAGCGAUCAAGGCGUCUUCCUGAAGAACAUCAUGUCUAAAUUGCCACUGCUUUUUGCACAGGGAAAAGGACAGCGUUUAAAGAAUUGUUUCAAGCUGAAAGGCCCUAGUGUGUGGGUCAGCCAAGAUUAUGCCAAACAGCAGAAAUAAGAAGAAAGCUUUGGGAAUGUACAGCAUCGGAUUGGUCAAAAGGCACGAAAGUCCAGCUCGUCUACGAUGAAAUAAAAGUAAAAG